CGCAACAGAGCAGCGGUUCCGGUUCAGACACCGAGUGCAGCGAGGACGAGCGUGCGUCGGUCGCCAUACUCAAGUUGUUGUUCGCGAGUGUACCGCCCGACGCCAUGCGAGCGGUGAAGCAGGGGCUCGUCGAAACGCUCAAUAAGAUUGUGCCGGGAGUACAGGCGAAAAUAUUGAAUCACGCCAAGGAGCAGCUAGCAAAGUGCGGAGACUUCAGCAAAAUAGACUGGACGACGCUCGACGUACCUGUGGAAGUCAGCAAAGCCGUUUGGGAGCACCGAGUCAUGAAAAUUGUGCUUACGGACUAAUUAUGAAAGAUAUCUA